rnacentral:rRNA from 1 species
UACGAGGGGGGCGAGCGUUGUUCGGAAUUAUUGGGCGUAAAGGGUGCGUAGGCGGUUUGGUAAGUCUCGUGUGAAAUCUCCGGGCUCAACUUGGAGCCUGCACGAGAAACUGCCGGGCUUGAGUGUGGGAGAGGUGAGUGGAAUUCCUGGUGUAGCGGUGAAAUGCGUAGAUAUCAGGAGGAACGCCUGUGGCGAAAGCGGCCUUCUGGCCUGCAACUGACGCUGUAGCUCGAAAGCGUGGGGAGCGAACCGG